rnacentral:lncRNA from 1 species
UUUUGUUUUAUUUGCUUUGUAUUUGUUUUUAUUUUUAUUUAUACUUUGUUGUUUGUUGUUUUGUUUUGUUUUUCUUUUCAAUAUGUUGUGUUUAUCUUUAUAUUAUUAUACGUUUAAGCUUACAACUUAAGGCAUAAGGUUACGAACUAAAACUUAGGUGCUACACAUCAUAAUCAGCAUCCCUCGAGCUGUUUCCAUCUUGUGUCAUUCAUAUUGGUUUAUUGUUAUCGAUGAUGUCCUCAAAAACAGUUUGUUGUGUGUGUUCACCAUUAUUCUUGUUUGCCAUAUCGUUUAUAUAGUUUUUUUUGUAUUGUUCCAACAACAGAAUAGAUCCAAAAACAUUUCAAACUGCCUCCAAUAGAGCGAAUUUAGAAAUUUUUAGUUUGCUUUUAAUCGCUUUGAUGCGCUUUAAAAUUCGGUUAUAUAUGCAUUCUUAUCUGUUUUCGUUUUUAUAUAUUUAUUGUAUGGAAAGUGCUCUCUAUCGAGGUUCGAAUCGAUUUGGAGUCGGAAUUGGGCCUGGAUCGAGUCGAGCGGGGGCAACGGCGAGCUGUUUCGUUGUGUUGUCGGCUCUGUUUCAGGCCCAGCAUGUGUCCCUCCCAUGAGUCUGUCUCAGUCCUCGUUCAGGCUCUGUUCACCGCAACAUCACAACAUCACAGCCCAAACCCAACCCCAAACCCAAACCCACAAUAACCCACCCGACAGGGGCCCCGGACGCCGUUCAUUUAUAAUUUGUUGCCGCUUUACAUAAAUUUAUUCAUACAUACAUUGGGUAUGCAUGUAAAAUUGUAAAAUUGGGUUUCUGUAUAUAUAUAUAUAUAUAUAGAAUUUGUUUCAUUAUUUAAUUUGUUAUAUAUAUAUAUAUAUAUAUUUAUAAAAAAAAAUACGCGUUAUGCUCUUAACUAAAAGGUUGCGUUACAUAUUUCUUAUAGCAUUUGCAUAUCCGUUUCCGUUUCCGUUUCCGUUUCCGUUGCCGAUUCGUAUUCAAUGCAUAUCUUUAUCAUCUAUCGUUUAUCGUUUAUCGUUUAUCGGCAUCGUUACCGUUAGCUUUUACGUUCACACAUAUUUAGAUCUAUAUAUUUAUAAUUUUCCGUUAAUAUUUUACAAUUUUCUGUUUUUUUGUUGAAUAAGUCUUAGCGUUUGUUGUUUACUUUAUAAUAUAUAUAUAUAUAUAUAUUUAUAUAUAAUUGUUUUUGUUUUUUUUGUGGUUUUGUUUUACUUUCGUUAUGUAUUAAAAAUAUUGAAUUAUAUUGUUUUGUGGUUUUUCAAUCGUUUCAUUCUUGUUUUUUGCGUUUGCAAGUAAAAAAAAAAUAAGUUAAAAAAAAAACACGAUUUAAACAGUUAAAUAGCUAAACACUAAGACAUAGGGGGGGGGGGGGUGGUUUAUAUAAAAAAUAUGCAUACACAUCCAUCCAUCGAUAUAUAUUGUAUAUAUAAUGCCAUCAACUAUCAUGGAUGGCCCAUACAGCCGUCCAGUUGCAGUUCUCCUCCUGCUGCAUUACUCUAGGUAUUACAUGUGCAUUGUAUGUAUCUGGCUCUUUCUUUUCUUCUCUUUUCGUUACGUUUCUUUAUUUUACUUACAAGCGACAUUUCAUUAGAUUAGCAAUAAACGUAGUACAUAAUCAUAAUCAUAAUCAUAAUCAUAAUCAUAGUCCGACAGUAGCGUUCGCUUACAGUGGAUGCAACACACAAGAAUCCGUCGUAAAUUAGUUUUGCGUAUAUAAAAUUGAAAAAAAAUAUAACUAAUAUAUGUAUAAUAUAAGCGAUUAGUAAUCGCAAUCCUAAUCGUAGGGUGGUGGGGGAACGGGGCACGCAUGGAUAACAUCGAUUCGAUUGAAACGAUGAUCUUGCAUAUUUUUUUUUUAAUGAAAUUUACAAAAAGUCGUUGAAGCAACGUAUGCUGUUGGAAGGGUGAGGGGAGGAGGUUAUUCUAUAGUUUACAAUCAUAAAUUUAAUUUCUUCUCGCUAUAUCCGUUUCCUUUCAUGUUUAGAUCCUUUUGUCUCUUAUCUAAGCCCAACAAUGUGUGUGUGUGUGUGUGUGUGUGUGUUUCUCUCUCUCCCUCUCUUUUUUCCUCAAAUCUUAACUUUGGAGGGAGGGACAGCAAAUGAACACAAAAUACACUUACGCACACACAACACGAGGGGGGGGGGGGGGGGGGGGAAAGAAAAAAAAGGAGGAGAAAAGGGGGGGGGGGCAAAAACCAAAAAAAAAAAAAAAAAAAGGAAAGAAA